rnacentral:rRNA from 1 species
GCCUACGGGGGGCAGCAGUGAGGAAUAUUGGUCAAUGGUCGGGAGACUGAACCAGCCAAGCCGCGUGAGGGAUGACGGCCCUCCGGGUUGUAAACUGCUUUUAGUUGGGAAUAAAAGGGGGCUCGUGAGCCCCGUAUUGUAUGUACCAUCAGAAAAAGGACCGGCUAAUUCCGUGCCAGCAGCCGCGGUAAUACGGAAGGUCCGGGCGUUAUCCGGAUUUAUUGGGUUUAAAGGGAGCGUAGGCCGGCUUUUAAGUCAGCUGUGAAAGUCCACGGCUCAACCGUGGAAUUGCAGUUGAAACUGGG